AUAUACCUCUUCGUGUAGAAAGUCUUUGAAUGUUUUUAUAAUCAUCGAGUCGUGACUUCUAGGAGACGCGAUUCUUUGAGACAAAAGUUAUCACAACUUUCAGCAAUGGAUCUCUUGGCUCUCGCAUCGAUGAAGAACGCAGCGAAUCGCGAUAUGUAAUGUGAAUUGCAGAUCUACAGUGAAUCAUCGAAUCUUUGAACGCACCUUGCGCUCCUCGGUGUUCCGAGGAGCAUGCCUGUUUGAGCGUCAGUAAAUUCUCAACCCCUCUCGAUUUGCUUCGAGUGGGGCUUGGAUAGUGGGGGCUGCCGGAGACCUGGAAUUCAUUCUGGGACUCGGGCUCCUCUGAAAUGCAUNGGCUUGCGGUCGACUUUCGACUUUGCGCGACAAAGCUUUCGGCGUGAUAAUGAUCGCCGUUCGCUGAAGCGCAUCAAUGAAUGGUCCCGUGCCUCUAAUCAGUCGACGCCUUCUGGGCGUCUUCCUUAUAGACGUUUGACCUCAAAUCAGGUAGGACUACCCGCUGAACUUAAGCAUAUCAAUAAGCCGGAG
rnacentral:rRNA from 1 species